rnacentral:rRNA from 1 species
UACGUAGGAGGCGAGCGUUGUCCGGAAUUACUGGGCGUAAAGGGCUCGUAGGCGGCCAACUAAGUCAGACGUGAAAUCCCUCGGCUUAACCGGGGAACUGCAUCUGAUACUGGAUGGCUUGAGUUCGGGAGAGGGAUGUGGAAUUCCAGGUGUAGCGGUGAAAUGCGUAGAUAUCUGGAGGAACACCGGUGGCGAAGGCGGCAUCCUGGACCGACACUGACGCUGAGGAGCGAAAGCCAGGGGAGCAAACGGG